AGUUGAACAGAGGCAAGCGAUAACAUCAGUAGGUCGGUUUGCUUUGAGAUUAAUAGUGCCGAUGGAGAUGUUAUUUGGAAUUGCUUUGUGUGCAAUUAAUUAUCAGAUGCCCCUGCGCCGCAGGGACUUACUACAGACAAUUGCAAUCUGCAUACCAGAUUUGUUCUAUAUCAGAUGAUCUUUCAGAUGGAUGUUGAGUAAUUUCAUGCAAAUUUGAAAGAUCGUUCAAAAGAGGCGCAAUGUUAUCUACGUGCGUGCUCCCUACCAGUGGUGCCCCUUCAAGUAAUACUGGGUUGUCAUGUGCUUCUUCCUUAAGAUUCAGAAUACUGGGAUGUGAUGUACCUUGAAGUUCAGGUUCUAAUAAAUAUUUGCCUUGGUCAAAGCAAAGCAGUUAUGAAGUUGAUACCCAUUUUGUUAGAAUAUCCAGCUUCGGUGAAAGGACCGGAAGCUAACCACAUUCUUUUGGGGGUGCCUGUUUGGCUUUGGAUCACUUGCAAGGUCUUGGAGGUUUCAAGAUAGUGGACACGGG